ensembl:lncRNA
AUCUAUGUCAUCCAGCAGAUAAAACACUGUCAGAACUUUUUCCUCCUGUUAACGAGCUGAAGGAGAAGAAACAGACUGAAGAGACAGAGAAUGGAGAAGACUCUGCUGCCAAUGGCAAAAAUGACAAGGAAAAUGGUGAGGAAGACAAUGAGGUAGAGGAGGAUGAGGAGGAUGUGGGCGACGAAGAGGAGGAGGAUAGAGAAGGUGACGAGGAGGAUGAUGAAGAAGAUGACAUUGAUGGACCGAGGGUGAAGAGAGCAGCUGAUGACGAUGAUGAUGACGAGGAUGAGGUUGAAAGCAAGAAGCAGAAGACAGAUCAGUAGUGUCUGCAGCGCCCACUCUGCACGGAGGACGACACUAUUGAAAGACAGCCAGCAAACCUUCUACACCUCAGUCCUCCUUUCGUAACAAAAAUGUGUUUAAAAAGAAAAUUUGUUUGUAUUUUUAUUUACAUUUUAUAUUUUUGUAAAUAUUGUAAGGAGUUUGGCCAUUUUGCAAAAGUGAUCUGGGUAUACAGUGGUGCUCUGAAGACUUUUAGAUCAACAUCAACCAUCCAUACUCUGUCUCAACCACCAGCCUGUCAUUCCAACAGCACACACACACACACGUACUACAACUACCUUUUUUCUGUUUUUCUAAGACGUAUAGGAUGCUAGAAGUUGUGUGUUGACCUGUAGUUGCAUGGGAGUGUUAAAAUAACUCGGCUCUUUUCCCAGUGCUGGGGAUAUAUUAGUGGUAGUUUCUAUGAGAUUCCAAAGUCGUAGUUUCUCUUGUCCAUGUGUCUCUAUCUGUGUGUCCGUCAUGGCCAGAUUAUAAUUUUUUUUAAAUGUCUGUGCAAUUUGGUUGAAUAAUAAAUUCAUUUGAUUUUGUUUUUAGAUUUGGAC